UCCUCCUGAUGCCCUACUUUUUAAUGAUUCUACAGUGACCUAUCUCGUUUUUCACAGAAUUCAGAAUUGGGAUUCCUUGUUUAUAUAGGAAAAUUCUGACUUACCCAGUUUAUGAAGAGAAACAAUGAACCUGUACACGCUAUAAAAAAUAUUUCCACAGUAUAUUUAUUAUAUUUUGGAUGUGGAUCCCUUUAAAUGGUUUUAAAUUGAUAUGACAUGAAAUUAUGUUUAAUCAGCUAGCAACUUAUUACACUAAUUUAUACAAAUGUUGUAUACAAUAAUAAAUGCAACUUUCAUACAUAAAAUAAAAUGUUUUUAAUUAUUUUUGAAAUGCUUUGUUGUAUCACAACAAUCCACCAUUAACUUUAAUAGCAGGGAAAUAUGUGACUGUUCUAUAAAACAAAACAUUGUAAUAUUGGAUUAUAUUUCUCUAUGUAAGGAUUGUAUUUUGAUUUUUCACAUCUUAUUUGUGAGCUGUGUAUUUUUUUAAAAAAGUUUGUAAAGUAGAAAAUGAUAAUUAGUAUAAAAUGUAUACGUUAAUAAUCUUUUUUCUCUUUGUACAGUAUUGUGCAAAAUAAGAAUUUUACCCAGCAGUAUUAUUCUAUGAAUUUAAAGACCCAAACAUGCAUGCUCAAAAGUAUAUUUAAAAAACAACAAAAAUGCACGAUAUCACAAAUCCAUGUACAUGUCUCUAGAUAGGAAUGAGGUAUUGUUAUUUUGAUUAUAUGCUCAAUCUUAUUAACUGAUUAAUGCAUUUAACUUGGAAGUUAGUACGUCCCGAGUUUUAUUUAAUAUUGUUCUACUAAAUAAAUAAGCCUCACUCUGCUGAAUGAGGUUUUCAGUUAAGAAGAAUAAUAGAGGAUAUGAAGAACUGGGCUUUUUAAAAAUUUGUUUCAUGCAAGAAGAACACAUUUAAAAUAUGUAGCUAUCUUUGUUCAGUUUGAGCACUAUGAGUUAAUUGCAAGUUUAGCACUUGACAUUGAUCUCUGAUCUCAAACAUCUUAUAACUUUUUAGAUUUUUUUUUCUUCCUGGGCUAUUCAGCCUUGGAAUAUUGAUUAUUGGCCAUAGGCCAUUAUAUCUAAUGUAAUUGACAAUUAACGUAUAUUAUGUACAUGAAGUAGUUUUCUAGUGCAGUUUUUUUCCCCUUUUUGGUCAGAAAGAAACAUAUUUGUUUUGAUUUCAAUCCUAAACACACUAAAAAUGACUGGAUAGCUGACUUUUGUUUUUAAAAUUCAUUUCAAUGUAACAAAAAACCAGUUGGUUUCAUUGGCUGUAACAUCACUACUUGAAAGAAAUCAUCACCAACAUAGAAUGGCUGGGAAUGUUAAUGGAAAGUCAGGGCAGAAAUAAUACCAUUGCACAUAGAGAACAAAAUGCAAUAAGUUGUUGGCAAUAGGGAGAAUGGAAAUAGAGAGCUGGGAAUAAACAAAUCACUGAAAGGAAAUUAAGAUUCACUAGAUAGUCCUGGAGAAUCAAUGAGUAAAAUUUGUUAGCUGGCCCAAAUCUUGACAUGUUCUUUAUAUCUAAUCUUAUAAAGUUAUGUUGCUAAGGUAUCUUGAAUUCUAAAUAUUGAAAAGCAUGGAUAAAUAUUAACUGUGAGAAAUACCAGAGCAUUAAAGUUAUACAACAAAUACACAGA